UGAGCCAUGUUCUGAUGAAUUCCAAGCCUCUUUCAAUUGAGAUCUUGAUCCAAGAUGAUAUCACAAGUUGUAUGAACUCUUGAUGAAUGAUCAUGGUGCCCAAAUUCUUCAAGAAUGGUCACCAUUUAGCUCAAUGGCUGAUUUUGACUGUUUGACUGAUGAUUGCUUCAUCUGCAAGAAACAAGGUUAGAUGACAAUAUUUUUGUAC
rnacentral:lncRNA from 1 species